GGUAGCCGAAGAUCACUCCCGGAUCGAGGGUCGGGUUGGUGAUCAUGCGGACAUCACCGCCGCCGGGGGCCCAUGUGUCAUACACGCCGCCGAAGAACAUGGCCUUGAAGACCAGCAGAAGGCAGCCGACGCCCAGAAGGAUGAGGUGAUAACCAAUGAUGUUGGUCAUCUGGUUCUUGUCACGCCA
rfam:Marine metagenome ctg_1101667080508, whole genome shotgun sequence.